AUAUGAUGCAAGAUGAAGAUGUAAAUUGAAGUCAAGAUUCAAGAUGAAGACUAAAAAUGCAAGACUCAAGAAGCUAGAUGAAGACUGAAAAUGCAAGACUCAAGAUGCAAGAUGAAGACUCAAGAUGCAAGAUGAAUACUCAAGAUGCAAGAUGAAGACUCAAGAUGAAAGAUGAAGACUCAAGAUGCAAGAUAAAGACUCAAAAUGAAAGAUAAAGGCUCAAAAUGCAAGAUGAAGACUCAAAAUGCUAGAUGAAGACUCAAAAUGCAAGAUGAAGACUAAAAAGAUGCAAAAUUAAUGAAUGCUCAAGAUGCAAGACUCAAGAUGCUAGAUGAAGACUAAAAAUGCAAAAUGAAGACUCGAGAUACAAGAUGAAGACUCAAGAUUCAAGAUGAAGACUAAAGAUGCAAAAUGAAGUCUCAAGAUGCCAGCAGAAGAUACAAGAUUAAGAUUCAAGAUGAAGACACAAGAUGGAGGAACAAGAUGCAAGAUGAAGACUGAAGAAGAAUGAAGAUCCAGAGAAGAACACUUCAAAGUUGGCGAAUUGCGACUGUGAAAAAGGUAACGGUGGCAGAACAAAUGAAUGGAUGAAUACGUCGAACUCGAGCAAUAAGCGCGACUAAGCUAUCAAAUCAAUGCUAGUUUCUUAUUUA